AUGCGGUAGAGAUCUGGAGGAAUACCCGGUGGCGAAGGCGGCCCCCUGGGACGAAGACUGACGCUCAGGUGCGAAAGCGUGGGGGAGCAAACAGGAUUAGAUACCCUGGUAGUCCCACGCCGUAAACGAUGUCGACUUGGAGGUUGUUCCCUUGAGGAGUGGCUUUCCGGAGCUAACGCGUUAAGUCGACCGCCUGGGGAGUACGGCCGCAAGGUUAAAACUCAAAUGAAUUGACGGGGGCCCGCACAAGCGGUGGAGCAUGUGGUUUAAUUCGAUGCAACGCGAAGAACCUUACCUACUCUUGACAUCCAGAGAACUUAGCAGAGAUGCUUUGGUGCCUUCGGGAACUCUGAGACAGGUGCUGCAUGGCUGUCGUCAGCUCGUGUUGUGAAAUGUUGGGUUAAGUCCCGCAACGAGCGCAACCCUUAUCCUUUGUUGCCAGCGAUUCGGUCGGGAACUCAAAGGAGACUGCCGGUGAUAAACCGGAGGAAGGUGGGGAUGACGUCAAGUCAUCAUGGCCCUUACGAGUAGGGCUACACCCGUGCUACAAUGGCGCAUACAAAGAGAAGCGACCUCGCGAGAGCAAGCGGACCUCACAAAGUGCGUCGUAGUCCGGAUCGGAGUCUGCAACUCGACUCCGUGAAGUCGGAAUCGCUAGUAAUCGUGGAUCAGAAUGCCACGGUGAAUACGUUCCCGGGCCUUGUACAC
rnacentral:rRNA from 1 species